GUAGGUAUGUGUGCUUGUGCAUGUAUGUAUAUAGAUAUAUAGGAACACAUAUUUACAUAUAU
rnacentral:pre_miRNA from 1 species